rnacentral:lncRNA from 10 species
CUAAUAUUUCUCGUCAAAAAUUAACCCGAGUAACCUCUUCUUUCCUCUCUGAGUCACCCACAUCCUUAAAACUGCCCAGGAUAAUCACAGUUCCUGCAUAGGUUGUUGUGUGAACUGAAAGUGUUAAUAUGUAUGGAAAGUGCUUAAAACACAGAACUUUAAACACAUGCUCUGAUUAGUACGAUCAUUACCCUCAAUGUUGAUUUUAAGCAAACCAUAUUAUCCUGGCCAAACUACCAUGACCUGGAGCCUUGGGACUGCACAGCCUCCCUCUGUCAGUCAAAUAUGGAGGGAUGACAUCUCUGGAGCCAGCACAGCCACUCUGGAGGUGGGGGAGGUGACAGUGGUGGGACCUCAUGCUUCCUGAUAGUUAUUUAGGUCCCUGCUGUCACCUGCUCCACCAGACUGUGGGCUCCAGGGAGUAGUCAGUAUUCACACAGGGCUCAUUUGUCCUUCCCCAACCCAGGCACAGAUUUUCCCAGAGUAAAGGGUUCCUCCUCUACCUGAUGAAUGAAUCACUCCUGUCCCCGCCGCCAAGCACAUGCAGUGAGACUAGCUGUGGCCUCAGCUCACUGCGUAAGGACAGCCUCCAGCUACAGCAGGGGCAGAGGACCCUGUAGAGCUCUGUAGUCUCUGUUGAGAACCACAGGCAGGAACUCCCAGAGGCCAAGUGCAGGGCAGAGACUGGGAGAAGCAGCUGCCUGGAGGACUCUGGAUCCUUGCAGAAGACAUGUCCAGUGUCUGCUGAGACUGACUCUAGGUGCCUGAGAAGAAGCCACCCAGGGAAGGAGAGACUAGAUUGUGGACCACUCAGGGCUGGGAGAUCUGCAUGUUCCCCUUCCCACAGUGGACAGAACGCAUGCCAGGGUGCUGGCGAGUUACCAUCAGAAGUCAACCACUAUAACUUUAGUAGUUAACUAAAUGAGCCCCUGAAUAAGGCAACUGAACACAAGGUAUAUAGUUAUAUGUAGAUAAAAGCUAGUAUCAGAGGAGCAAACUGAUCCUCAGUUUUCUGUGACCAGAAUAAUGCCCAAUAGACUUUGAAAGAACACAGUGAUGUUCGGUACCCAAGAAAGCAAAAUUCACAAUGUCAAGCAAUAAGAAAUUACUAUGCAUGAAAAAAAAAGUCCCUAUGGGCAGGAAAAAAAAUGUAAUCAACAGAAACAGUGGCCGUAAUAACAGAUAUAAUGGUGUUGAUAGAUUAAAUAACUUAAAACAGGUCAUCUAAAGCUUACAAAUAUACUCAAGAAUAUUUAAAAAACAGAAAAACAAAAAACACCACCACCAAAAUCAUAGGUUGCGCACGGUGGCUCAGGCCUGUAAUCCCAAUACUUUGGGAGGACAAGGUGGGAGGAUUCCUUGAGCGCAGGAGUUUGAGACCAGCCUGGGCAACAUGGUGAAACCCCGUCUCUACUAAAAAUACAAAAAUUAGCCAGGUGUGGUUGCAAGUGCCUGUGGUCCCAGCUACUUGGGAGGCCGAGGUGGGAGGAUCACUUGAGCCCAAGAGGUUGAGGCUGCAGUGAACUCUGACUGUGCCACUGCACUCCAGCCUGGGUGACAGAGUAAG